rnacentral:tRNA from 1 species
GCUGGAUUAGCUCAGUUGGUAGAGCAACUGAUUUGUAAUCAGUACGUCGUCAGUUCGAAUCUGACAUUCAGCUCCA